CUUAUUUCGCGCAGCUUAGGUGGGAGACGUUGAACCUUUUCUUCCGGGAAAGGGGGAGUCAUCAGUGAGAUACCACUCUUGGUAAGCUAGAGCGCUCAUUUUUAACCGUUAUCCGGUAAAAAGACAGUUUCAGGCGGGCAGUUUGACUGGGGCAGUCACCUCCCAAAAGGUAAUGGAGGUGUACAAAGGUUCUCUCAGGCUGGACGGAAAUCAGCCAUAGAGUGUAAAAGCAUAAGAGAGCUUGACUGCGAGACGGACAUGUCAAGCAGAGACGAAAGUCGGUUUUAGUGAUCCGACGGUGCUGAGUGGAAAGGCCGUCGCUCAACGGAUAAAAGUUACUCUAGGGAUAACA
rnacentral:rRNA from 1 species